rnacentral:snRNA from 1 species
GUGCCUAAAUUUAAUGAGUAAGGAAAACCAUGUUGGUCUUGCUAAUCGCUCGACUGGUGUGCUUCUAAGGCAGUGGGAUGAAGUUCAUCGGUUAUUGCUUUUCUUUUAAGCGAUAUUCGAUCGAUAUGAAGUUCCAUAUGAAGCGUAAAUUUUUGAAAGGGUACAGGUCGUCCCAUUGGACUCAUGAGCUUACUACUCUUUCGAGCUGUAGAGUUCAGGUGCAGCGAUCUGCCCU